GCCUGGGUGGCUUAGUCGGCUAAGCGUCCGACUUCGGCUCAGGUCACGAUCUCACAGUUUGUGGGUUCGAGCCCUGCGUCAGGCU
rfam:Felis catus isolate Cinnamon breed Abyssinian chromosome B3, whole genome shotgun sequence.